rnacentral:lncRNA from 1 species
AGCGGCGGCUGACGGGGAGCCCGGCGGUGGACUUGAGGCCCCGGAAAGGAGCAACAGCGGUAGCCGCCGCCGACAUCACUGUCGGACCCAUAGCAUCCACCCUUGUAUCACUAGAGUAUAUCUACUUAGCUAAUAUGCUAAGUUUGGCACGGAGAGAGGAGGUCGAGUGGACUUCAUUCCUGGUCACAAGGGUUUAUAUAUACCAUAUAACAUACGAGCAAUUUGUGAUUAAUUUGUUGUCGUUCUAGGAGAUGUGGAAAGGGUGGAUGCCGUUCGUUGGUUGCCUUAUCCGUUCUAGAGAAGGGAUGGAUGACCGACGCUCGCUCAGCCGUCUCCUUCGUCCAUCGUUGCCAAUCUUUCUAGCUAUAAUUGGAAGUUCCAAAGGAACAUACGGUUUCAUGCCUACUUCCAUCGGCCUAUCAUGUACCAAUCCAAUAAAAGGACAUCGUUCAACCAUCAAUCCAUGUGUGUGUAGUAAGUGAUUGGCUACGAACCUUCAGCUGACUUGCUUUAUUGGAUAUUUCUGUAAAGCGAGUCCACGGUGUGUGGGUUUAAAAUCUCGUGGCGGCAACUGUUGACGGGUGCAAAUAUCAGUAGCCUUAAAACAAUAAACUUUACUCCGUCCCUUCCGAAAUGCAAGAAUGUCCUAAGUCAAACUUCUUAUGCUGCAGGACCAUAGUUUUUGAGGUGUUCUUCUCACGAGUCCACGAAGAACGGGAAUUUUUUGGUGUCGGGUAAGGGCGGGGGAAUAUAUAGAUGCUAGCAUCAGCAUGACGGGCUAACGGGUCAGGUAGGAUUUUGGACGACGUAGCACCUGACAUGUGGGGGCCACAUGUAAGAAAACCUGUCAAAAUGUCAUAACCCUCUGUUUUGGUCAACUUGAUACAAUCUGAUACAAAACGUGUGGUUUUCCUGACAAAUUAGCAAAUUUUGUGUCUCUGUGAGAAGCACGCCCCAAAAACUGUGGUUCCGUGAAAUUUAUUCACUAGUUACACUUUAUCUACAAACAUCUACGAUUCUAAAAUAGUUUGGUAUAUAUUUUCCGUAAUAUAAUUAUUUGAUAUUCUAAAUUCGGGGAUUUGUUCUUAUAAACUUGGUCGAAGUUUAAAAAGUUUGACUUCGGACAAAGUUACGACUUUUUACAUUUAGGAAUGAAGGGAAUACAUUUUAGUAAAGCAAUUGAGGAAUUGACAGAAUUAAAUAUCUUAAAUUAUACUGGUCCAUCGUGUACUCAUGGCAACAAAAUAAAUUUAUAGUCGAAAAGUUGGACCAUGAAAACUUAAAACGUGAUACAUUAAAAUUGUUGAAUCACUCUACAUCUUGUAAUUUUCUCUUGCAACCUUCUGGCGCGCUACUCAUUCCACAUUUGGUACUAUAUGUAUAAAUGUAUAUAUAUACCGCAUUAGGAGCCUCUAUUACUGUUUUAGUAUAAAUAGCAGUUUCCAUCGACUAUGCACUUCAUUAACUUUUUCUUCACGAGAUAACUUGCUUAUCGAUUUUCUUUAAUUAUCCAGAUGGCUUCUACUAGUUUGUUUCCUUGCUUACUGGGAUUUCCGCAGACUUUACGGUUAGGUAUUAUUGUCGUGUGGACAACACGGUGGCCGGAUGUUGAGAUGAUGAUGUCCUUUAUCUCCGUGUUGCUUCUGAGGACUGCGGAUCCGAGGCUAGUGGCGGUAUGGGAUGCCUCUCUACCUCUUGAUCAGGUCAAUCCGGCUCAGCAAGAGGCGGAUCGAUGGUGGCCGGUGUGACUAGAAGCGGGGAGGUAUAUAUGAAACGUUUCUUGCUUCCAGCAUCUCUUCUAGCGGUAUAUAUGUCGUCAGCUGGUUGAGGGAUUGAUGGCAAUCGAUCAUGGCUACGAUGACAUGUAUACGCGCCGGUAGGAACACAUAUCAGGCAAUGUCGAUGCACCUGCAUUGGGCCCUUGCUGAAGGUGGUGGUGCGUAUGGCAGUCUAAAGAUUUAAGACACAAAUUUAGACUUAAAACUUAAAUAAUCAAUUUGUGCCAGCGGGAAACACACAAACACGUACCGGUAAAUUAUCAUAAUCAGAAUUUGUCGACGAAUUUGAUAUUCUUUUACAAAAUAUACUUAUCUUAAUAUGUAUAACCGGAGUUUAUAUUACAUGCCCCUCUCCCAACGAUAGUUGUAGUACUCUUAUAAUAGUAGUACUCAUGAAUACAGUUAAUCCGGGUUGUUGGGAGAGAUCACAUGCAUAAAUACAACAUGAAACAAACGUGUGAAAAAGGUACAUAAAAUCGGUGUGACCCGUUCUUGUAUUAUAAGAAAUCAACUUGCUUAGGCCUUGCCGGACUCCUCACAACCCGGUGGCUUGAAGGCGAUGAAGCUGAUGCACUGCACUUGCCUGGUGUUGUCGAAGCCGAUGAUGCGGACAUAGGCGUCAGGGUACUCCUUCUUCACCUCCUCCAGCUCCUUUAGCACCUGCGUGGCGUCGGUGCACCCGAACAUGGGAAGCUUCCACAUUGUCCAGUACCUGCCGUCGUAGUACCCGGGAGAGUUGCCGUGCUCACGGAAGACGAAACCGACCUUGCUGAACUCGAGGCAAGGAACCCACUUGGAGCGGAUGAGAUACUCGAUCUGCUUCAAGAGGGACUCCACGGUGAGAGGCGGCAGGUAGGAAAGGGUUUCGAACUUCUUGAUGCCCUCAAUUGGCCACACCUACAAUUAGAUUAAUAAUUAGCACCGAAAGUAUAAUUUGAGACACAUAUCAGUAUUUCACUUCAACAUAUGUACAUGAUGACAUACAUACCUGCAUGCACCUGAUCCUUCCACCGUUGGAG